rnacentral:pre_miRNA from 1 species
UUAGCUCAUAUUUGUAUGGAGUGGGAUCGUUUGCCGACGUUUGCCGCUAGGGGCGCUGUUCGAACUGCAUACAAAAUUGGGUUA